rnacentral:rRNA from 1 species
UACGGAGGAUGCAAGCGUUAUCCGGAAUGAUUGGGCGUAAAGCGUCCGCAGGUGGCUAUGUAAGUCUGCUGUUAAAGAGUGAGGCUCAACCUCAUAAGAGCAGUGGAAACUACAUGGCUAGAGUGCGUUCGGGGCAGAGGGAAUUCCUGGUGUAGCGGUGAAAUGCGUAGAUAUUGGGAAGAACACCGGUGGCGAAAGCGCUCUGCUGGGCCUGCACUGACACUGAGGGACGAAAGCUAGGGGAGCGAAAGGG